rnacentral:lncRNA from 1 species
UUCGUCUUCCAUAGCAAUCCACUUGCAUGUGUACAAAUGUAUAAAUCGUAUUACAUGGGAGUUCCUUAUAAAGUCGUAUCAUUAUCACAAUAGUUCUGAAUAAUAUAAAGUAGCUAACAGUACAGUACUGAAUCAUAAAAAGGACCAGCUUCAGAUACCCUUCAAUUCUUAUGAUGAGUCCCUCUACUAGUCGAUCUAAAUUAAAUGCCUUGUCCCUUAUGAUAAACAUUAUAAAUAUGAGUUCCUAGUGCAUAUCUAUCAAUCAAAGUCAACAAAUUAAUGCUGCUGCUUUUUUGAUUUAAUGUCUAGUUGAUGGUGUGCAAACAUCCAAGAGGAAGAAGACAAUAAUAUUGUGUGAUGGUCAUUCACAUCACUGUCGCCUCUGAAGCCUGCAUGAGAACUCUGAAACACGAAUGACACUACACCAGUUGAGCUUAUUUUUUGCAGAAUACUCUUCUUUAGUUUUCUAAAAGACUGGUACGAAUGCAUCCAUGCAGAAGAAUCCAAAACCUAAGACACAACUUCUUUUGGUACUUGGAUCACUGUCGCCUCUGAACCUAAAUAAAAGCUUAAGCAGUCUUCCAAUUGCUUGGGAGACCAGAGAAUACAUCCAAAUCAGAAGAAGCCAAUGAAAACAGUCUUGAGGUAUUUAUAUCACUGAUGGCUGAAUGCGUCCAAGCAGAAGAAGCCAAGAAAAGCUACGAGACGUUCAUGGAAUAACAGAAGCUGAGACUCAACUAGGAGAUAAAUGAACUGCAAGUAAGCAUCAACAGCUGGAUGGAACAGAAGGAGAUGAGACAUCAAUGUUCUGCACCAGAUUCAGUUCUUGGUGAACAUGUCCUUUGCUUGCAAACAUAUGGAUUAUUUCUGCAUGUUUUGGGCACCAUAUAAGACCAAGAAACAUUUGGCAUUUAAGACCAAAGAGACGAAGAGUUACUUCUACAGAACUUAGAAAUUAUGUCCAAUCUUGAAUCUUACCACCCUCAUUUCCUUUCAUUUCUAAUUAUUGUACCAUGUUUUCUUUUGUCAUUUUCAUGAGGAUGACUAAUAAGUACAAAGGAAUUUUAUGGAAUGCUACAUCUGAUGGCAGUGAGAGACAUUUAUAACAAAGUAGAAGAGAAGAAUUAUGGAAACAUCAGCAUACAUCUAACAAAGAGAAAGAAUCAGUGACAGACAAGAAUCAUUCAGUAAUGACAGCUUGGACUGAGAACGAUGAUGACAACAUGACAUGAAUGAAAGGAUUAAUGAGAUUGUAUCAAGAUGACCACAAUUUAUACCACAGCAUAUCAUUCACGCUAUGAUGCAAAAGAUAUCAAAGAAAAGCUUUUGUUUUCUUUGGUUCAUAUAGAACAUGGAAGCUAAAUAGACAGUAAGGGAGAAGGAAAAUUGUUACAUAGUUAAAAAAGCAAGACAAUCUUUCACUAAUCUAAAUCAAAACACAAGCAACUGACUACCGAUGCACUCGACUACAGGAUUAUAUGUGACUUCAAAAUUAUAAGAAACAAAAAUAGAGAUUUCUGCCGAGACAAUUAUCCAACGAUACGACUUUUAUUCCAUACAAGAAAGAGUGGGAAACUGUUAUCUGAUUACAGAACUAGCUUUAAAUAAGUGCCAGUCGGCACCUUCCUCGANN